AAAAUCCUUCUUUUUUCUAAUUUGUGAGUUACAAAAUUGAUAUUGGGUAAAAAAGUUGGGUUCUUCGUCAAAAUCCAAAACUUCCUUUUUUUUAGAUUACAAAUUUUAGUCGGUUUUUUAAAAACAUUCCAAAAAAUUAAACAAAAUUUAGAAACCAAUAAAAAUCAAAAUAUUCACCAAAGGUACCUGUAACGUAAUCGUCCAACUUCAAGUUGGUUGUGUGUGGAUUUCUUUCCUCAUCCCAUAAAAUUCUGCUCCGUUUUCUCUCUCGCACGCCUUUUUCCUACAAAAACAGAAUGCAUUAUCUACUUCCCUAUUUCUUAUCAAAUUCUAACAGAGUUUUAAAAUAGAACUACGAGUGAUAAAGAUAAUUACUUACCAGACGACUCUGGUCUAAGCUAAAGCUUCCAGAUGCGUUGUUGGACGACAGUGUACUUGAAGUCCAUACUAGACUUGAGGCUAAAUACGGGAUUACCUCCAACGCUUGGAGUGUCGAAUGGCAGCUGGAAGAGCACUUUGGAACCAUGUGAUAACACUAGGCGAAGCGGCAUGCUUGAGAAACCUUCAUGAGAAGCUAAAAAAAAGAUAGAAGCAACAACCCUAAAGAGAUUUCUACACUGAUUCUUGUUGUUUGUGCCCUCUGGUUCGAUUCCAUAAAUUGAAGGUGCUCUAACAUUCUUCAAUAGUAGAUAGUCACAGGUCAUUCUCCUUGAUGAAGGCUUCUGGUUCACCUCAGCUACCACCCGUCCCAUAGAAAGACAAUCCGCAACUAAGAUGAAAAUCUCUGAGUAGGCUGGAUGGAGGUCAGACGCCACCUCUACCUACUUCAUGCUUCAUUAUAAAAGUUCCAUGGAAAGGAUGUCAAAUUAUAAGUCCAUGGUUUCUACAUCACUCCAUAUCAGAGGUGGUCAUACUCGUGUAAUUAUAGUACAUAUCAUCUGUAAACUAUGCAAUUAGAAAAAACACAACUUGGACCUAAAUUGUGUUUUCUGUAGGUAGAUUAUAAUUAUUUUCCACUAAUUCACAUUUCUGGUUGUAAAAA